rnacentral:rRNA from 1 species
UGGGGAAUUUUGGACAAUGGGCGAAAGCCUGAUCCAGCAAUGCCGCGUGCAGGAAGAAGGCCUUCGGGUUGUAAACUGCUUUUGUACGGAACGAAAAGGCUCUUUCUAAUAAAGAGGGCCCAUGACGGUACCGUAAGAAUAAGCACCGGCUAACUACGUGCCAGCAGCCGCGGUAAUACGUAGGGUGCGAGCGUUAAUCGGAAUUACUGGGCGUAAAGCGUGCGCAGGCGGUUCUAUAAGACAGAUGUGAAAUCCCCGGGCUCAACCUGGGAAUGGCAUUUGUGACUGUAGAGCUAGAGUACGGUAGAGGGGGAUGGAAUUCCGCGUGUAGCAGUGAAGUGCGUAGAUAUGCGGAGGAACACCGAUGGCGAAGGCAAUCCCCUGGACCUGUACUGACGCUCAUGCACGAGAGCGUGGGGAGCAAACAGGAUUAGAUACCCUUGUAGUCCCUGAGCGGGCUGGCAAGGCGCAU